ensembl:lncRNA
CAGUGUUUAUCUGUUGCAUAUUUGUUGUUUACCUGUUUAUCUCUGUGUCUUCACUUCACAUUUCCAGACUGCAGACAUUUAGAGCACAACCUCCAGAGCCCAGCUGUGUGUCUAUGAACAGCACUUACUUGAUGAAUCAGCCUCUUUAUUUCAGUAAUGGAAGAAGCAGCUCUGACCUGAGACUGCAGGCAUUCAGAGGAGAAUCUCCAGAGCCCAGCUGUGUGUCUAUGAUUAGCUAUCAUUCCAUGGAGCAGCCUCUUUAUUUCAGUAAUGAAAGAAGCAGCACUGAUCUGAGGUGAGACAUGAGCAUGGGAUGAUAGUCAGUUUUAACAGGGUUUUUUUUUUUUGUUUUGUGGAAAGUCUACUCUUUUUUUUUUUUUCAUCUGUCAAAUUUUGACAUCCAGCUAUUUUUACUUUACAUUACUCCACCUUCCUGUAAAAGUGUAGCCUAUCCAAACAGUACUUUAGAAUUACCCCUGUAGGACUCCAUAUAAUAUGUUAACUACAGAGGUAGCACAGGUUUAAUCUGGUUGGUGUGAUGAUUUAACUUCUUGUGUUUUUACAUCGCAUUUCCAGAAAUACAUUCAGAGCAGAAUCUCCAGAGCUCAGCUGUGUGUCUAUUAAGAGCAACCACUCGAUGCAGCAGCCUCUUAGUUUCAGUCAUGAAAGAAGCAGCACUGAGCCAAGACUGCAGACAUUUAGAGCAGAGCCUCCAGAGUCCAGCUGUGUGUCUAUGAAGAGCAACCAUUCCAUGGAGCAGCCUCUUUAUUUCAGUAAUGAAAGAAGCAGCUCUGAUCUGAGACUGCAGACAUUCAGAGCAGAACCUCCAGAGCCCAGCUGUGUGUCUUUGAGGAGCAACCACUCGAUGCAGCAGCCUUACAAUUUCAGUAAUGACAAACUUACCACUGAGCUGAGACUGCAGACAUUCAGAGCAGAACCUCCAGAGCCCAGCUGUGUGUCUUUGAGGAGCAACCACUCGAUGCAGCAGCCUUACAAUUUCAGUAAUGAUAAAUUUACCACUGAGCUGAGACUGCAGACAUUCAGAGCAGAACCUCCAGAGCCCAGCUUUGUGUCUAUGAGGAGCAACCACUCGAUGCAGCAGCCUUACAAUUUCAGUAACAAAAAGCUGAGACUGCAGACAUCCGGAGCAGAACCUCCAGAGCCCAGCUGUGUGUCUAUGAGGAGCAACCAUUCGAUGCAGCAGCCUUACAACUUCAGUAACAUCAAAUGUACCACUGAGCUGAGACAGACAUUAAGAGUAGAACCUCCAGAACCCAGCUGUGUGUCUAUGAGGAGCAACCACUCGAUGCAGCAGCCUUUUAAUUUCAGUAACGAAAGAAGCAGCACUGAGCCGAGAGCAGAACCUCCAGAGCCCAGCUGUGUGUCUUUGAGGAGCAACCACUCGAUGCAGCAGCCUUACAAUUUCAGUAACAACAAAUGUAUCACUGAGCUGAGGUGAGAAACCAGCAUGGGAUGAGAGUGAGUUUAAACAGGGUGUUUUUUGUAGUAAGUCUGUUUUUUUCUUUUUUUUGGUCAUCUCCAAUGAAAAGUACUUUUUAACACUACAUUUUUUCUACCUUCCAGUAAAAAAAAAUCAGGCUGCACAGAAUAUUGUUUAAGCAUUGUCAUCACACAGCAUUCAUGUGAAAUAAUCUUUACAGUACAUUGCAGUAUGUGUGACGCCACGUGAAGCAAAUAAAUAAAAAAUGUUACUCA